rnacentral:sRNA from 1 species
CCCACGGCUACAAACCAAGUGAGAAGAGGUGGGAGAAAGAGAAACUAGCCACCUCCUCUGCAGCCGAGCGCACGCAGCAGCCUGGCGUGACAAGUGGGCGACGCCAGGGACAGAGAGUGGGGGUCCUCCGCCCGCUCCGGGGACCCUGUCGCCCACCGUGGUGCGCUGAGCAACUUUUAGCCGGCAGCCCCGCACCUGUCUCAGAGUCCCCAUCGCUCCCCACCAACCAUCAUGGGAAAAUUCUAGAAGAAUACGCUCUCGGAAUCUACGUGCGCAUCAUUUUCCUCCUCACUCCAGAGGAAGGAACCAGAAAAGAGAGCAAAGCGGUGUAGUGUUCAGCCUCAAGAACCCCCGUGCAUCCCAGGGAUGGCGCCCUCUACAGGAGGGUCCUUGCCUCACUUUCGGGAGUCUCUUAACUGCAUCUCGUUGAUUCCUAGCGUUAGAAGAACUGAGCUAACAGGAGUCUGCCACCUCUCUGCCUUGCUGAUGCACCCAGGCAGGGCUCACUGGUUUGCAGGAGUACAUGACCACAGAUCAGAGCCAUUGGCUGCACAGAUACCUGACUCUGGGCUCUCAGGAAGACUCAGGCAGAGAUGGGGAGUCGGCCUGCAAGCUGGGACGCUAGAGCUCACGUGCAGUUCUCCAUUUAGCUAGGAGGUUUCCAGGGCAACCACCGAAGCAGUAAUUAAAGAUGAAGAGCUAAAAGGUAAGUACUUCCAAACCUGAAUCCUGAAGGAGGUGGUCCGCAGGCUGGUGUCACAGUGUGCACUCUUAUUCACUUAACAUUAAGUAAAUAAUUUUUUAAAUACAUUUUUUGAAAACCUCUGAUGAGAGGAUACACACUAAAUUUAGGAUGUUCCAUGCUCUGCCUUUGAUUUGUAUCUUUUUUCACGCGCGCACGUAUUCUUGUAUGUACGUACACACCACACACACACACACAUUUUUAUGCUUCCACCAGCCAGUCAUGGGACCAGGCAUUGGGAUACCAGGGCUUAAGGUGUCUUUCGGGUUCCUGUUUUGAACGUCCUAGCAUGCAUGUAUAUAUAUAUACAUACAUACAUAUAUAUAUAUACACAUUUAAGGCAUGCAAACGAGCAACUGCAGAGGCGUCUACAGUACUUAGCGUGUAGCAGCUUCAUCCAGGCUCUCCAGGCAGU